CGAAAUUGUUGAACAGAACAGUAUAUGUAUAUAUUCAUAUAUGAGAAAGAAUUAGUGCAAGCAUCUUCCCUCGAUACAACAAACCCAAACACCCAGCCCAACCCAUUCCCCAAUAGAAGAGAAUGCAGUUCUCUCAUGUAACAAGGUAAAGAAAA